CCUGAAGCCCCGCCUUAAGCAAACACUGUCCUCAACACAGCAUAAAAACAGCCUGUGAAUAUCAAGCAGUCGAAAGAAUUUGCAAAACAUGUCUCAAGAAUACAAUCAACCGAAGCUUGAACUCCACAAGGUUGAGGCCUGGCUGUGUGACGCCAUUGCUGACAACGCUGAAGACUUCUAUGGUACCCCGGACCCCGACAGCUCGAUUCCACAGGCAUACACAACAAGAAGCUACAAUUAUCUUGACCGGUUUGGUGAUCAGCUUGGACCUCUUAAUCUGUCAUACCUUUCAAAUGCUGACAAGAGUUAUCACAAAAUGGACAAACGUCUUGCACCACAAAUUUUAAAGAUCAUCAAAGCAACAUGGGGUAUGGUUCUGGAAAACGUUGUUGCGGCUAUUCUCCACAAAGCAUGCAUCGGAUGUGGAUUGGACCACCCGAGCCAUACGAGACAUUCUUGUCUCGAUCCACCUGAUUAUUUUUUUGACACCCAUUAUGAUGAAAUUGUGGAGUUUUAACAUCGCGACUGAAAUGUGUUGGUCAAGGCUUUGAACGCAUCGGGGUUGCAUGCACUGAUGACCAAUGUUCAAGUGGCCGCUGAGAACUUUCUGCAUGAGCUCAAGUUGGAGCUGAACGUCACACAGAGACUGAGUAAGAACAGGGAUGAAUACAUGGAUACAUUUAAUGAGGGUGCUGUAUGCGACGCAGGGGCGUCUUGGUGCUACGAAAGCAAAGAGUCUGUUGUCUAAGGACGGAUUCUGUCUCUCACAGUUGAAGUGUACCUACAAAAAAAAUUACAGACAUGCUUUCCAUUGUCAGAUCCUGCUUCUUCAAGACAGGGAUGUUUGGUCACAAGAGCCUCAGCUGCAUUUGCUAUCUCUCGGUCACCUGGCUCAACAUCAAACAAGAAUGUUGGAACUGGAAAAGGACCAGAUGGCCAUUUGCUGAGCCGCUCUAGAGAUGACACCUCUGAAAGUAAUUUGGUAGAUGGAGCUGAACUGCUAUCUUCUCCAAAGGCUGGCCGAGAGCUAAGCUUCACUUUCCAUACACAGUCAGUCUGAAUGAAGUGAAGUAUCAUGGGUUCAGGCAUUGCGGCUGCCAUUUUACUGAUGAAUGAAGAGACAAUUUUUAAAUCAGGUGCAGUUAAAAUGUCCUGAUAAUACCGUGAUAAAAGCAAAACCUGUUUUACUGAAAAAUGAAAUUGGCAUUAAUAAAGUUUAAA
ensembl:lncRNA